rnacentral:miRNA from 1 species
UCGGUAGGGUGACUGUCUGGGUUUGCCUGGGACUGAGGGGUUUUAGGGUUUAGCAAGACUUUUAAUGUUAAAACCUG